GAGAGACGACAGGUCCAUAUGAUACACUGCUUAGAAGGAACGACGAGAGACGACAGGUCCAUAUGAUACACUGCUUAGAAGGAACGACGAGAGACGACAGGUCCAUAUGAUACACUGCUUAGAAGGAACGACGAGAGACGACAGGUCCAUAUGAUACACUGCUUAGAAGGAACGACGAGAGACGACAGGUCCAUAUGAUACACUGCUUAGAAGGAACGACGAGAGACGACAGGUCCAUAUGAUACACUGCUUAGAAGGAACGACGAGAGACGACAGGUCCAUAUGAUACACUGCUUAGAAGGAACGACGAGAGACGACAGGUCCAUAUGAUACACUGCUUAGAAGGAACGACGAGAGACGACAGGUCCAUAUGAUACACUGCUUAGAAGGAACGACGAGAGACGACAGGUCCAUAUGAUACACUGCUUAGAAGGAAUGACGAGAGACGACAGGUCCAUAUGAUACACUGCUUAGAAGGAACGACGAGAGACGACAGGUCCAUAUGAUACACUGCUUAGCAGGAACGACGAGAGACGACAGGUCCAUAUGAUACACUGCUUAGAAGGAAGUCUCAGAUAUGGCCAUGGCCAUGACAAAUUUUGCUGUUACUGU